UCCGCGAGGCGACUCGCGUCGGGCGGCGACUCGGAGGGCGACGACGACCGGACCUCCUCCCCUCCCCACCUCCGGCAACCGAACCCCCACCCCUCCCCACUCCGGCAACUAGACCCAAGCCCCUCCACACAUCGCCUCGAAGCCCCUCCCCUCCCCGCCGGAGUGCCUCGAAGAUCUGGAGCUGUACUCCGCCACCAUCGUACCCCAGGUCCGCCUUCAAGAUCUUCUCCUCUCCGGCAGCAACGACGGUGGUCCGAUCCAGAUUCUUGGUACAACGAGGAGCAAGAAACGAGCGAGGAUCUGUUGUGAGGCGAUGAAUCCUGAAGUCCACAAGGUCUUGGAGCUGGACAACACUUGGACAACAAUGAUUUACUCCAUGAAGUAUCUCAUUUUUGGUUUUGUACUCUAGCUAUGUGACUCCGGCACCAGCAGCAACAAUCAAAACAGCUGCAAGUUCAGAAACUGACCGAGGUAAAAUGUUGCACUUCAGGGCUGAGCAGAAGAUGUCGUCCAUCCUUUCGUGCGAGAACACCAAGAAGUCGUCGAUCGAAGCGAAGCUGCGCACACGAGAGAGAGAAGAAGCACUCGUGAUCAUGGACGACACUUGGGUGGCGUGGCCGCCGGUUUUUGGUCACGGGAGAAUCUAGAUUGACGAGUUGGAGCUGCCAGCGAGACCCCUGGCCGCGACGGCGACGAAGGGCUCAGUUUCUUCUGGCUGCGGCGGCGAGUCAGGGCACAAUUCCUCUGGCCGCGGCGUCGAGGGAGGGCCAAAAUUCGUUGAUGAAUUUGUUCCUCGGUGGCAAACAGCGAGGGAGGGCUCAGCUUCUUCUUGCCGCGGCAGCGAGUCAGGGCCCAAAUUCGUCAAUGAAAUCGUUUGUCGGAGGCAGACAGCGAGGGAUCUGCACAGUCGGGGGAGAACGACGAUGGGAGCAGCGCGGCCGUAGGAGGGAGUGUGGCUAGCAGGCCACCGGCCGCCAGGUCGACCCGCCCCGUCCUGCGUCGGCGACCUCCUCCGCCUACACGAUGCUGGCGUCCGCGAGCUCGUUCCGCUCGUUCGCGUUAUCGACGAUGGAGUCCGGGAGCUCGUGUGCAUCCGCUGUAUGCUGGCCUGCGCGUCAGCGCGAUGGAAGCAGGCCGGUGAUGGAGCAGACGAGCGACGGCGAGAAGAAUGUGUUUUUGCAAUUUGAUUUGAAGCCCAGAUCUGAACUAAUCAGAGUUUAUUAGGGGGUGUUUUGCAAAAAUGUAAAUGAACUGGGGGAGGGAGGGCUUCGACAUCUUUUGCGUGACGGAGGGAGUAUGAAGAAACGUUGAAUUUUGGCUUUA